rnacentral:rRNA from 1 species
UGGGGAAUAUUGGGCAAUGGGCGCAAGCCUGACCCAGCAACGCCGCGUGAAGGAAGAAGGCUUUCGGGUUGUAAACUUCUUUUGUCAGGGACGAGAAGAAGACGGUACCUGACGAAUAAGCCUCGGCUAACUACGUGCCAGCAGCCGCGGUAAUACGUAGGUGGCAAGCGUUGUCCGGAUUUACUGGGUGUAAAGGGUGCGCAGGCGGGACUGCAAGUUGGAUGUGAAAUACCGGAGCUCAACUCCGGAACUGCAUCCAAAACUGUAGUUCUUGAGUGGAGUAGAGGUAAGCGGAAUUCCGAGUGUAGCGGUGAAAUGCGUAGAUAUUCGGAGGAACACCAGUGGCGAAGGCGGCUUACUGGGCUCUAACUGACGCUGAG